GAGUUUGAUCGUGGCUCAGAACGAACGCUGGCGGCAGGCUUAACACAUGCAAGUCGAGCGCCCAGCAAUGGGAGCGGCGGACGGGUGAGUAACACGUGGGAAUAUGCCUUUCGGUUCGGCACAACUCAGGGAAACUUGAGCUAAUUCCGGAUACGCCCUUACGGGGAAAGAUUUAUCGCCGAGAGAUUAGCCCGCGUCUGAUUAGCUAGUUGGUGAGGUAACGGCUCACCAAGGCAACGAUCAGUAGCUGGUCUGAGAGGACGACCAGCCACACUGGGACUGAGACACGGCCCAGACUCCUACGGGAGGCAGCAGUGGGGAAUCUUGGACAAUGGGGGCAACCCUGAUCCAGCCAUGCCGCGUGAGUGAUGAAGGCCUUAGGGUUGUAAAGCUCUUUUACCCGGGAAGAUAAUGACUGUACCGGGAGAAUAAGCCCCGGCUAACUUCGUGCCAGCCGCCGCCGUAAC
rnacentral:rRNA from 1 species